rnacentral:rRNA from 1 species
AUUGAACGCUGGCGGCAGGCCUAACACAUGCAAGUCGAGCGGAGCGGCGGACGGGUGAGUAAUGCCUAGGAAUCUGCCUGGGAGUGGGGGAGAACGUCCGGAAACGGGAGCUAAUACAGAAUACUAUCAGAUGAGCCUAGGUCGGAUUAGCUAGAUGGUGGGGUAAAGGCCCACCAAGGCGACGAUCCGUAACCGGUCUGAGAGGAUGAUCAGUCACACUGGAACUGAGCCACGGUCCAGACUCCUACGGGAGGCAGCAGUGGGGAAUAUUGGACAAUGGGCGAAAGCCUGAUCCAGCCAUGCCGCGUGUGUGAAGAAGGUCUUCGGAUUGUAAAGCACUUUAAGUUGGGAGGCGUUACCAGCAGAAUAAGCACCGGCUAACUUCGUGCCAGCCGCCGCGGUAAUAC